rnacentral:rRNA from 1 species
AUACGGAGGGUGCGAGCGUUAAUCGGAAUUACUGGGCGUAAAGCGCGCGUAGGCGGUUUGGUCAGUCGGAUGUGAAAGCCCUGGGCUCAACCUGGGAAUGGCAUUCGAUACUGCCUGACUAGAGUAUGGUAGAGGGAAGUGGAAUUUCCGGUGUAGCGGUGAAAUGCGUAGAUAUCGGAAGGAACACCAGUGGCGAAGGCGACUUCCUGGGCCAAUACUGACGCUGAGGUGCGAAAGCGUGGGGAGCAAACAGGAUUAGAUACCCCUGUAGUCC